rnacentral:SRP_RNA from 2 species
AAAGGCCCCCCGCGUGGCGGCACCUCGGUGAACUCCCCUAGAUCGGAAACGAAGCAAGGGUAGCCGGGCUCUGCUGGGUACGCGGGGGGUCUUUGCU